rnacentral:misc_RNA from 1 species
AGUAUGGCCUCGCGAUGCGCGCCACCGCGUUCAACCAGCAGGUCGCGCAGUCGCUCGGCAUUUCGGUGAAAAGCGUGUUCGCGAUGGCCUGGGCGAUCUCCGCGACGGUGUCGGCAGGGGCGGCGUCGUCGUCGCCGUGGUCAAUGGUGUGUCGGCCGGCCUCGCCGCCUACGGCAUCAAGGUGUUUCCCGCGGCGAUCCUCGGCGGCCUCGACAGCGUCGGGGGCGCGGUGAUCGGCGGCAUCAUCAUCGGACUGCUUGAGAAC